rnacentral:rRNA from 1 species
GAUGAACGCUGGCGGCGUGGCUAAGGCAUGCAAGUCGAGCGAGCGGACGAGAGGCUUGCGGCUGUGAUGUGAGCGGCGGAGGGGUGAGUAACACGGGGAUAACCUACCUAUGAGACGGGUAGCACUUCGGGAAACCGGGUCUUAUAGGGUGUGAUGUUUGGGACGGCUGGGUUCGAAAGGAAAGGACGGUGUUGCUGUGGCUGAUAGAUGGGUGCUCGCUGCAUGAGGUAGUGGGUAAGGUAACGGCUUACCAAGGCAACGAUGCAUAGCAGACCUAAGAGGGUGAGCGGCCAUAAUGGCACGGAGACACGGUCCAGAACCCUAAGGGAGGCCGCAGUCGGGCAUCUUGCGCCAUGGGCGAAAGCUUGACGGAGCACCACAGCGUGAGUGAUGAAGGUCUUGUGAUCGUAAAACGCUGUUAUGAGGGAAGACUAUAUGUGUAAGUAACUGUGCACAUCUUGACGGUACCCCAUCAGAAAGCAACGGCUAACUACGUG